rnacentral:rRNA from 1 species
UACGGGGGGGGCAAGCGUUGUUCGGAAUUACUGGGCGUAAAGGGCUCGUAGGCGGCCAACUAAGUCGGACGUGAAAUCCCCAGGCUCAACCUGGGAACUGCGUCCGAUACUGGAUGGCUUGAAUCCGGGAGAGGGAUGCAGAAUUCCAGGUGUAGCGGUGAAAUGCGUAGAUAUCUGGAGGAAUACCGGUGGCGAAGGCGGCAUCCUGGACCGGCAUUGACGCUGAGGAGCGAAAGCGUGGGGAGCGAACAGG